UCUUGUUAUUAUUAGACUUUUAAUUUUCCCUUAAAAUGGUUUGCUUGUCAAUGUUAUGCCCAGAAUUUUCCCUUAAAAUGGUUUCCUUUACGUUAUAGGCAUUUAAUCAUGAUAUCCAAAAAAUGAUAAUACCAUUUUUCCCCUUCUCGUAACCAAGGUACUCGGCAGGUAGUGAUGACUCAUUACUUUGAUCAUUGGCGAUUUUCCACCCGAGUGGCUUCUUUCGAUCUUCAAAGAUACCUGAGUUCGGCUGUCUUUAGCACGUAAACAGAACCCCUGGCUGAAUGGUAAGAAAAUUGGGCGAAGGAAGCAGGAAAAGGAGGAACGUCCCUCCCCCUAACCCCCUCGUCUCCGACGACUCCUCAGCCCUCAAGGAACUUUUCAUCCUCUCACUUGAGGAACUUCAUGAUUUACCUAGCAGCUGUGCAGUGCGUGUCCUUGACAAAAAGAACUGUGG